rnacentral:rRNA from 1 species
UACAGAGGGUGCAAGCGUUGUUCGGAAUUAUUGGGCGUAAAGGGCGCGUAGGCGGUGCGGUAAGUCUGUAGUGAAAUCUCUGGGCUCAACUCAGAGUCUGCUGCAGAAACUGCCGUGCUUGAGUGUGGGAGAGGUGAGUGGAAUUCCCGGUGUAGCGGUGAAAUGCGCAGAUAUCGGGAAGAACACCCGUGGCGAAGGCGGCUACUCUGGGACGGUAC